UAUGUUCUGCAUUCUUUAUCCUUUUGGUUACUUUUUUACUGCAUUUUUAUUUUAUUUCACUUUUUUUUUUUUUUUUUUUUAGAUAAUAUUAAUUUAGUGCGCUGUGACAUAAUAAACCAUGCUAAUAAUAACCAAAACAUAAAUGAAAACGAAAAUAACAAACAAUCAGAUAUAGAAGAUGGGAAUAAGGAGAAAGCGGAUAUUAUAGAUAAAAAUAAGUCCAAAGAAAAUGAGCCCCAAACAUGUGAGCAGAACACAAACAAACAUAAUCUGAAAGAUUUACACUCAACAUAUAACAUACCUGAAAAAAAAAAUAAUGAAACAGAAUAUGCUGAGAAGUAUGAAAAUAAUUACAAAUCUGACAGUACAUCUGUAAGACAAGAAGGAGAAUCAAAUAAUAAUAAGACGGAGGAAGAAAAUAAAAAAAAAAAUGAAGAAAUAAAAAGAAACCAUGAAGAAGAACACCUAAAUACUUAUCAUAAUAAUGAACAAAAAAAUGAUAUUAAUGUUAAAACGAAUUUAAAAAACGAAAGCGAUCUUGAUGAAAAAGACAACUCCAAAAAAAAUAGUUACCAACAGGAUGUAGAAAAAACGGUUGAUUCAAGCAAAUCUAACCAGCCAAACAAGUCAAGUGAAUCAAAAGAGUCAAGUAGUCUAAGUGGGGUAAAGGUAUCUAAUAACGUUGAAGAAAUUAAACAAAAUGAAAAAAUAAAUAAAACAGAAGAUAAACAAUACAAUUAUAAUAAUAACAAAUAUGAUAACCAUUUAAAUGGUGAUAGUGACAAUUUUACAGCUAGCCAACAAUUUGAAUCGAAGGAUAAAGAAAAACCAACCAAAAAAAUUAAGUCCAAUGAUGAACUGCUGGGUGAUGAGUUUAAAAAAGAUGACGAAGAGGAAGAAAAUAUAAAUGAUAUCCAAAUGCUAAAAAAUAAAAAAAAUAAAAGUGGAUUAAACAGGGAUGAACAAGGGAUUAACAAAAAACACGAAGAGGAAGAAAAUGUUAUGGGUGAAGACGAUUUUGAUAGCGAGUUGGAAUAUGAGAGUGGAGAACAGGGAGAAGGAGAAGGAGAAGAAGGAGAAGAAGGAGAGGAAGGAGAGGAAGGAGAGGAAGAAGAAGAAGGAGAAACAAAAAAAGAAAAAGAUUUAAAAGUCGAACAAAAAACAGAAGGUGAAACAGGUGGAAAAGGUGAAACAGGUGGAAAAGGUGAAACANNNNNNNNNNGUGGAAAAGGUGAAACAGGUGGAAAAGGUGAAACAGGUGGAAAAGGUAAAACAGGUGGAAAAGGUAAAACAGGUGGAAAAGACGAAAAUGGCAAAAAAGACGAAAAUGGCAAAAAAGACGAAAAUGGCAAAAAAGACGAAAAUGGCAAAAAAGACGAAAAAAGCAAAAAAGACGAAAAAGACGAAAAAGAACAAAGAAAUGAUGGAAUAAACAAACUAGAUAAAAAGAUAGAUUUAAUAAAAACAAAGACAAAUAGUGAUAAAAAUCAUAAAUUGGAUAAUAAUCAUGUAGAAGAAAACAAAGUAUUAAAUACUGGAAAAAACAUCACAAAACAUUUUCAAAAAGAUGAACAAAAAAAAGAGAAAGAAAUAAGUAAAGAACAAACAAAAAAUAAAGAAAAAGAAAGUUCGUCUCAACCAGCUAAUUUUAAUAACCAUCAAGUAUAA
ensembl:lncRNA